AUGUACGCUGGCGGCGUGCCUAAUCCCUGCAAGUCGAGCGAACAGACGAGGAGCUUGCUCCUCUGACGUUAGCGGCGGACGGGUGAGUAACACGUGGAUAACCUACCUAUAAGACUGGGAUAACUUCGGGAAACCGGAGCUAAUACCGGAUAAUAUAUUGAACCGCAUGGUUCAAUAGUGAAAGACGGUUUUGCUGUCACUUAUAGAUGGAUCCGCGCCGCAUUAGCUAGUUGGUAAGGUAACGGCUUACCAAGGCAACGAUGCGUAGCCGACCUGAGAGGGUGAUCGGCCACACUGGAACUGAGACACGGUCCAGACUCCUACGGGAGGCAGCAGUAGGGAAUCUUCCGCAAUGGGCGAAAGCCUGACGGAGCAACGCCGCGUGAGUGAUGAAGGUCUUCGGAUCGUAAAACUCUGUUAUUAGGGAAGAACAAAUGUGUAAGUAACUAUGCACGUCUUGACGGUACCUAAUCAGAAAGCCACGGCUAACUACGUG
rnacentral:rRNA from 1 species